GUACAAGCUGCAGCAAUACCUGCGGAAGAAGCAGCAAUCUGCCACUGCUUCCAUAUCUGCUAAACAUACCCAAAGGGCCCCAGCAAAACCCAUUGUGAUGGAUGAUGAUGAAGAGCUGGAGAGAGCGAUGUUGAGCAUCUCACUCUCUAAGCUACAAGUGCAGAGCUUUGCUGUGCCAGCAGCAGUAGCAGCAGCUGCCAUACCCAGAGUGUCACCAGGAGCAAAGACAGGUUUUUAAAUAAGAGGUUUUUAGGACUGGAGUAAGCCCUCCAAAACUGAACAUUGACUUAAACUGUUAUGUUGUUUGCGUUCUGGCCAUG